rnacentral:snoRNA from 1 species
ACGACCUUACUUGAACAUGAUCUGUUCUAUAGGCUCGUUCCGUUGCAUCCUUUACCAAGUCUGAUGGCUUCAGGGCUAGAGCGUGAUUAACGGCCAGGAUUCCUUAUUAAUGUUUGGAUCUGACGGCUGUAGAUGAUCGUUCCUGGCCUGCGUUGCUGCAAGCUGGGGUGGCCCGAUAGCUGUCUGACAGACU